rnacentral:tRNA from 1 species
UGGCUCGUAAGCUCAGUCGGCCAGAGCUCCCGGCUGCUUGUCGGGGCGCGCAGGUUCGAAUCCUGCCGAGUCUG